GACGUAGGGCGCGAGCGUUGUCCGGAUUCACUGGGCGUAAAGGGUGCGCAGGCGGUUGGGUGUGUCAGAUGUGAAAUCCCGAGGCUUAACCUCGGAACUGCGUCUGAAACUACUCGACUAGAGUACUGGAGAGGGUAACGGAAUUCACGGUGUAGCAGUGAAAUGCGUAGAUAUCGUGAGGAACACCAGAGGCGAAGGCGGUUACCUGGACAGUUACUGACGCUCAGGCACGAAAGCAUGGGGAGCAAAAGGG
rnacentral:rRNA from 1 species